GUGGCCGCACCCACCCACCCACCCACCCACCUCGCCGCCGCCGCCGCCGGGGCUGGGGCCGCCGCGCGCCUUCGCCUCCGCCUCGUCCUCCGAGGCUUGCUUGGUUGUAGCUAGCUAGCUCCACUAGCUUGCGGGGGAAGCUAAUCUUGGAACAGCAGCCUCCCCAUCCUCCCGGUGGUGUAAAUGGCAUGCGCGCGGGCGGCGACGCGCGAAGGCGGCGGCGGCGGCGUCCUCAGCGACGCGACGCGAGCAGUGGUGUGGUGGUCAGUUUGGAUCAGUUUGAACCUAGGACUCCAGCUUCUGCGGACAAGAACACGCAUGCAUAUGGUUCUUGUGGUCUCCAUGGAUCAACGGUGAAGCCGGCUAGCUGGCAGUCUGGCACUCGACGGCGCGGACGUGAGAGUGUGAGUGAGAGCUCCACCACCACACAUUGCAGGUUCUAUCUCCAGUCUCUGCGCCCUCAUCCCUUUGAAUUCAGCCAGCUAAUAUUUGUCAAUGUGCUCCUAGCUGCAGUGAUUCAGCUUGCCAAGAUGUUUCUAAGCACAAAUGCAAAAUGCAUCAAUUGUAGAAGAAAUAUUACUGUGUGAUUGCAGCAAUUGUAACGCGCGUAUACUAUGAUGUCUGGGCAAGCCAAUCCUCUAUUUUGAGAUUUUAUAUGUUGUGAUGUUGCAUCCUUUAAUGUAAGGCAUUUGCGAGGGGAAAGCCCCCAUGAUUCCAAUUUUAGCAACUUGUUAAUUCGAAUCACCGGAAGCAAUUAAUGCUUUUUCUUUUUGUGCCGGUCAGCUCUAAGUUCUUAUCCUUUAUAGUUUGUUUGAACAUUGAUGCUUCCAUCAAAGAUUAAUGAAAUCUUAGCUGCAGGGCAAUUUCAUUGAGCAUGCAAAUGAAUUGAAGAAGAAUAAAACACCUGGUAGAUUAUCAUUAAGCAACUCAUGAUCAUUGGAUCACAUUCCUAUUAUUACUAUUGAUCUGUCCCAAGCUCUAUAUAUUAGUUUCUCCAAGAAACUGGAAGGCCCUUACAAAGAUAUGUAGAGAAGGAUAGCUUAGGUCUACUUGUACAGUUCUACUUGAUAUUAACACUUAGGCAUCUGGUUGUAGGUGGGAUUUAUGUGCAGCUGCAUGCCUUUGUUUGCUUUUAAAGCUUAAGCAGCAGUUUCCAGCCCAUUUAGGAAUGGGCUGUGAUCAACUGCCUGCUAGGACUAAUGUACUUAGGUGAUCAGUCCAUUUUACAACAUGUGGCAAAAGCUAUUGUUUUGUGAACUUGGGAGCUUUUAGUAAUGAAUACAUGCUUGACAUAUAUUCAUCAAUUGUGGUUGCUCAGGAUAUACCCUUGUGGUCUACCACAGUAAGUGUUCCUAUGUAAUUAUUUGUGUGGUUUGCUUAGUUUGCAUAUGUCUUUGCAUCAUGUGCUCUCUGAUCUAUAUGAUUAUUAUUUCCUGAAAAAUUUAACAAGUACCGUAGCACCAGAAGUUCUCUUUAUGAAUGCAUGGAGAUGUUAUUUUGGUUAUCGAAGAUUUGGUUGGGAUUAUUUUAUACUUUUAUUGUUUAUUUGGGGUUGGUUUAGUUCUGAACUAAAUCGUACACAAAUCUUAUUUUGUAGGAUAUUUUGAACCACAUGUCAGAUAUUCUUUUAAGACUAUAUUUUGAUGAAAAUAAAUAAAAGGAAGCAUGCCAAAACAGCAUGAGGGUGUAUAGUAAUCUGGUAGUAAUAAACUAUUAUUGGAUUUUCACAGGAGGAAAUUUGGAUUGUCGUAAAUGUUCAGAUAUGCUAUUUUAUCUGGGAAGAAAUAAAGUUCUGCUUGAGUUGUGCUUUAACCAGAAGGAAUUUGUAGUUGUAAAUUUAAAAAACCAAAAUCAGGGGCGGGCUAUCCAUUCAGGCUUACCUGGAUUUCUUUGCCCUCUGGGACCUACUUUCCUCGAUACAGCUUGAGCCCGCGGUGGCUGACGCGGCGGUCUGGUGGCCGGCGAAGAACGGAACCUUCUCCGUCAAGUCAGCCUACUCGUUGCUAUCCGCUGGUCGUACUCGAUGUUUGCUGGGCAAGAUUAUUUGGAAGUCACGCGCACCGGAAUGCUGCAAAUUCUUUAUGUUCUGCGCCAUGAAGAAUGCCUGCCUUACGGCUGAUAAUUUGCAACGGCGUGGAUGGCAUCUGGCUCCAAUCUGCCAUCUUUGCUCCAAAGAUAUCGAAUCUUGCACCCACAUCUUCCUUAACUGCGCCUUCUCCCAUGAAGUUUGGGGGCUAGUUAGGGGCAGGAUUGGCCUCCUUCAUGCAGUGCCAGAUGAUGACUUGCCCACUUGGUGGUGUGCCGCGCGCAAGGUGGUUACCAAGAAGGAGAGGAAAACCUUUGACGCGGGCGUGAUUUUGGUGACUUGGCUGAUCUGGAAGGAACGGAACGCUCGCGUGUUCGAUGGCCGAGCCUCGUCACCGGCCUGCCUAUUCGCGACGAUCAAGGAUGAAUGGGAAAUGUGGCUGGCGGCGGGUUUGAUCCCUCCUCCGUGAGAAGGCUUGUUGUAGCUCUGUUGGGAGAGGUUUUUUGUGUGUUUGCUCCCCAUCUCCUUUGAGCGACGGCUUUUUCUGCCUCUCUUAGGGAUGUGGUCCUGCUUGUAACAAAUAAUGUACAUUCUUUGCUCUAUCUUAAUAUACUUCGGCCGGCAUCUUUGCCGGCCCGGUGAAAAAAAACCAACAAAAGUUUAAUGUCUUCAAAUUCUGAAAAAUACUAUCCAACGACUGUAAAAUGCAUAUUGUUUUGUGGAUGGAUUGUCCUACAAUGGGUAAACCAAACUAUUUUUGUGAAUCUGUGGUCUAUAACUCCCUUCUUUCAUGUUUAUAUGUUAAAAGGAGUUGCAUCCAGCUUACAAUUUUCCUUGUUAUUGCUUAUGCUAUUACAUUACCUUUUGCAGCAUCUCAUCUAUAUUAUUGCAGGAAUUAUAUGCAAAGUUAAACGUCAUGCGAGCACUGUGGCAUAUAUGUUAAUUUGUUAGUAGGGGAAAGGUUUGCUACAUUCCUACUGAUGCGGUUUACAGAAACAGUCAUACUGUGUCUGUCAGAGGACCAGAGAUUUUGGGAAGAGAUUGAAGAGGGACCAAGGGCUAUGGGUCCCCUUGGACUUUCAGCAGUUCUACCUGGAUAUGCAAUUUGUGAUUCUUUUCGGGCAAGGCCGUCUCUUAUCUCCGGUCUCCGCACAUACAUCAAGUAAUACUGAAAAUCGUUGAUAGAGUGAUGGCGGCAUUUUCUGUUACUGGAAUGAACCCUGAUAGGUUAUAUUAUACUUUCAAGGUUAAUAAACCUUUUCGACCCAACUGUUUUCAGUACAAAGUGCUGUAAUGUUUAUGCACUUUGUGCUGCAAUAGCAAGCAGGAGCAUAUGCAUGUGUUUUGCUCCAUUUGUUACACUUCUAUUAUAGAUUUUUCACAUGUCAGAAAUUGGAUGAUGUAGGAUAUAUUAAUUAUGAAAUUCCUGGUUUUGUCUAAAAAUGUCGCUGGCCUUUAAACCGAAGACGAUGAUGAGGAACACCCGCUUAUUCCUGGUUUUUUGUCUAAAUUGGAUGCGUCCUUCCAAGCAAACAAUUGCCGAAAAAACACGUUGUGGUCGAUAAUGUUGCCAAGCAACAUACAACCAUCUCUGCACAGGGUAAUC